AAGUCGUAACAAGGUUUCCGUAGGUGAACCUGCGGAAGGAUCAUUAUUGAAAACAAGGGUGUCCAAUUUAACUUGGAACCCAAACUUCUCAAUUCUAACUUUGUGCAUCUGUAUUAAUGGCGAGGAACUUCGGUUGUGAGCCUUCACUUACAAAACACUAGUCUAUGAAUGUAAAAUUUUUAUAACAAAUAAAAACUUUCAACAACGGAUCUCUUGGCUCUC
rnacentral:misc_RNA from 1 species